GAUCCAGGCAGAGGGAAGAGCUGUGCAAAGGCCCGGAGGUGGAGGCAGUGUUCUGGCCUUGGCAAACUUUCCUCAGCAGGAUGUGCCAUGUUUCGAGUGCCCAGUGGCUGCCUGUGGCCACCCUAUGGCACAGCACAGAGAGGAAACAUCCCCAUCAUUGCAAAGCGUGCCACGGGCAGCGCUGUGCUGGAGAUCUCCGAGGGUUCUGGGUAGAAAGUGUUUUUCAGAGGAGACCAGUGAGGAUGGGCUCCAGCGACUCCAUGAGAGAUGCUAGUGGCCAGAGCCUGGCCUGGUCCCUGAACACAGCAAGUGUCUCAGAAGUGGCAGCCUGUCCCUCAGAUGACCGACCCCCAGCGAUCCACACCUGCACCUACUGCUGCCGCAGGUAGUCACCUUGCCAGUGAAUGAGAGCUGGCCUGAGUGGACAACAGAAUAUUGCAGAAGUGCCGGUGUGUGAGCUCAAGGCUGCAGCUUGUCCCUUGGUCUCCUGAGUCUCUCGGUCUGGGAGAAGCCGGCCCCCACCUCACGGGGCCACUCAGCCUGCAGAGACCCCAUCUGAUGAGGCACCGAGGACUCCCGUCGGCAGCCAGCGCCAGCGCCAGCGCGUCGGCCGCGUGUGAGCCGCCUCGGAGGUGGGAGUGGAGACGCAGUCACGCCCGCCUCGGACGGCACCCUCGCCCGUCGCCCCGAGCCAGGCCCGGGCAGGGACAAGAAAAUCUGUUGGCUCCAGGAAGUGGGCCAAAAAAAUCCAAAGUGGCCACAGAACAAGAGUACACCCUGGAAACAAACCAAAUGAAGGUACUAUUUAAAUUAUUAAGUUCAUUCAAGAAUAAUUCUAGAUUUUGUGAUUUCUUUAAAAUUCAUCAGGUGUCAGGCAGGUUGGGGGGAGGAAGGGAUGGCUAAAUGUACACCUAAUGGGUGAAGUGUGCACUGUCUGGGAUGGGCAUGCUUGUAGCUCCAACUCCAGCAGUGCAAAUGCAAUAUGUGUAAACUAAGUGUUUGUACCCCUGUAAAAUCUUGAAGAAAAAAAAACCACAUUAAAAAAAGUUUCUAAUUUUGAGCUGUUAUGAUUCAUGUUGCAAUGAAGAUCCCUGUAUACAAAUCUUUCCAUAUGUUGUUAAUUAUUUUUCCUUAAGAUAAAUUUUCAGAAAUUUUGACUCAAAAUUCAAGCCAACAAGUACAGAUAAUUAAGGCUGCUGAUACAUAUUGCCACAUUUAAACCACUAUUUUAGAAAAACAAAGUGGAUGUAGUAUGCAGCAUUUCUUGGAUGAGAGAUUCUGUGAGAAGCAAUUUGAUCUGGCACAGAACUGAAAUGGCUUUGUCAGGUGGCUGUAUUCAAAUCCUGGCUCCUUUCACUAUAUAACCUCAGUCAAAUAAAUUAAUCUUUUUGCCUUGCUUUCUCCCUUGUGUAAUGAGAUAAUUCAUGUGAAGCAAUUAGAACGGUGCUUAGCAUGUAACAGCUGACACAAUGGAGUUGUUGCUAGUAUUAUUACAGCAAUAAUUUAGGUUGGAAGUGAUAAGGUUAUCUAGAGAAAAAACAGAGAAAUCUUUGACAAAUUA